ACGCGGACCCUCAGUCCUCAGGCAGGGAGAAAGAACCUCUGAAGUAAGCCCUCACCUCUGCAGGUGGGGCUCAGGCCCAGAGACUGGGAUCAGCUGGCUCAGGCAGCUCAGGUCCUGGUUCGUCCCCUAACCCAGGAGGAUGCUGUGGGAGCUGGAGCAGCAGCAAGAGGGAGAAUGGGGGGAAGCAGCACUAGAGAAGUUCCCAGAGCUCAUCCUGUCACUGGCUGCUCUGCUGAAAUUAUCAAUAAGAAAUGCCAGUUGGAUCUGUGACAUGUCUGCCCGCAGCUGGAUGGGAGCAACUGACAGCUUGUCCUCCGAAUGUGUUUUCUCCAGCCCCCCUCCCAGCCCAGCGGCGAUGUCUCUGCCUGGCUGGCCCGUGCCCUUGACUUCCAGGCAGUAGGAGAUGGAGUUCUCUAGACAGCAGCACUUCAGCCGCCACUCCGCCUCUGAAGGGAAGGAAGGGAAAGGGGUGCUGGCUACUGUGAAAUAACAGAGUCCAAAAGCAAGGCGUCCAGAGUCAGAGCUCCUGGGUUUGAACCUUGUUCCACCAGCACACCCUACCUCUGUGGCCUGGUCCUUCAGCUCCUACUUAAUGGAAGCCUCGCAGAUGCAAGAUGGCUCCAGCAGGCCCAGCAUCACUUCUUCUCAGUGUCCCAAAGCCAGAAGAGAGGCUGUUGUUUUUAAAAGCAGGAAAACUUUCCUAAACUUGGCCAGAAUUGCAUCACAGACCCUUUCCCAAAACAAUUUCCAGCAAAGGGAAUAGACUUACCAUGUCUGGUACAGAUGAAUCAAGAUUUGCCCCU
rnacentral:sRNA from 1 species